ensembl:lncRNA
UAUUUACUAUAUAUUAUAUUAAAGAUAUUGAAUAGUUUCAUUGUUUAUUAUUUUGUUAUAUUGACUAUAUUAUAUUGAACUCAGGAAUUCCUUACAAGGACCGAUGGUAUUAUCAUCAUCUUACAGGUGAGAACAAUGUACAGAGAGCCAGUAAGUGGGAGUACAGGACAUUAAACCCACUUGAGUCCCCAGAGUCUGCUGCUUAACCGGAGUCACCGCUGCCCCUGCAUCAGAAUGAACCUCCAGAGGCAUUUUUGGGCACAUCUGGAUAAUUCAGGAUAAUCUCUGCAUCUCAAGAUCCUUGACUUGAUGGCAUCUACAAAGCCCCUCCUGCCAUAUACGGUAAGAUAUUCAAAAGUUCCAGGAAUUAGGACAUGGACAUCUUUGGAGGGGUCAUUAUUCAGCCUACCUGAUUGCUUAAAGCCCUCCAAUGGCUUUGCAUCUGAGUUAGAAUAAAACCCAAGCUCCUCACCCCAGAUAAGAGUGCCUUAUUUGACCUAGCCCUUCCCAUCUCUCCAACCCCAUGCUUUCCCGCCCUCCCCUUAGCAUAGGAGCCCGCUUGCUUCUCACUGUUCUUCCCACCGGCCAAGUCCAUUCUUGCCUCAAGGCCUCUGCUCAUGCUGCUCCCUCUGCCUGAGUGCUCUUUCCCCAGAUCAUCACAUGGCUCACCGGUUCUUCCCUUUUAGACUUUAGCUCAAAUGUCACCUUCUCAGAGGUCUUUCCCUGAGUAAUCCGUCUCACUCACCAUCCCUGCAGUCUUUCAUAUCAUCUGGGUUACUUAAUGUCAACAUAAACACUUAUUGUCACCUGCUUUUUGUUUUUUCAAAAAUAAAUUUUAUUUAUUUAUUUAUUUUUCAGGAAGAUUGGCCCUAAGCUAACAUCUGUGGCCAAUCUUCCUCUUUUUUUCUCUUCCUCAAAGCCCCCCAGCACAUAGUUGUAUAUCCUAGUUGUAGGUCAUUCUAGUUCUUCUAUGUGGGACCCUGCCACAGCAUGGCUUGAUGAGUGAUGUGUAGGUCUGUGCCCAGGAUCUGAACUGGUGAACCCUGGGCUGCUGAAGCAGAGUGUGCAAACUUAACCACUAUGUCACCAGGCUGGCCCUGUAGCUGUUUUUUUAAAAUUUGUUUCCUUAUUUAUUGUUUUUCUCCCCCACUAGAACGUGAGCAAAUGAGAGAGAAAAAAUAUUCCUUGCUGUGUUCACUGCUGCAUCCCCAGGACUGGCAGAUCCCUGGUAGACACAGCAGACCCUUGAGAAAUGCUUGUUGAAUGGGUGGAUGGAUGGAUGAUGGUCUGGACAUCCAAUUUGGUCUCUGGGCUUCAGUGACCAGGAUUCAGACUCAGCAUGGAGGUAGGUCACAAAGGCAGGAGGGUGCAACAUUUAAUGAGUGCUUCCUGUAUGCCAGGCCCUGUGCUAGUCCUUCCUUUAUGUAAUUCACCAUAUUGAACACCUACUGUGUGCCAGGUCUGUUAUUUAUUCAUGUGUUAUUUAUUCAAUUUAAGGAGCAUUUAUUGAGUGCCUACUGAAUGCUAGGCAAUGUACAUUUAUCAAGCAUCUACUACACACCAGCUGUCCCAAAUCAGCGCCUGGGUCAGAGUAGUUCAAUAAAUGCCUGAAUGAAUGAAUGCCCUCAAAGAGCCCCCAGUCUUCCUGCCAAAAUAUGCUGUAAAUAAAUGACUGCAACACACAACGAUAAGGCUAUAAUGUGGGUGUGUUCAGACUGCAGAGGGUUCCCCUUAUCACUUCGUACUGCCAGGUACCUUUCCCAGAGUCUUAUCUUCUUACUUGGGAACCAGCUCUUUGAAGGUCAGGUAGACUCGCUCCUCACUCACCUGCCUGUCCAUCCCCUGGGCGCCCAGGAAGGACCUUGCCUGUAGCGUGUGCUCGGUCAGUGCCUGUUGUCUGAUUACUUCGGCCUCUCCCACUGGCAGUGGUUCCUUCGCUCAUACACCAGGCAAGAGGGCAGUGGCUUGGCCCUAACGCAGAUGCUGCUGGCAGGGAGCUGGGAGCCUCUGACACGCUGCCCACCCUCCCAUUUGGCCUGACUUUUC